rnacentral:rRNA from 1 species
CCUACGGGUGGCUGCAGUGAGGAAUAUUGGUCAAUGGACGAGAGUCUGAACCAGCCAAGUCGCGUGAAGGAUGACUGCCCUAUGGGUUGUACACUUCUUUUAUAUGGGAAUAAAAUGUUCCACGUGUGGGAUUUUGUAUGUACCAUAUGAAUAAGGAUCGGCUAACUCCGUGCCAGCAGCCGCGGUAAUACGGAGGAUCCGAGCGUUAUCCGGAUUUCUUGGGUUUAAAGGGUGCGUAGGUGGAUUGUUAAGUCAGUUGUGAAAGUUUGCGGAUCAACCGUAAAAUUGCAGUUUAAGCUGGCAGUCUUGAGUAGAGUAGAGGUGGGCGGAAUUCGGGGUGUAGCGGUGAAAUGCUUAGAUAUCACGAAGAACUCCGAUUGCGAAGGCAGCUCACUGGACUGCAACUGACACUGAGGCACGAAAGUGUGGGUAUCAAACAGGAUUAGAUACCCUUGUAGUC